CCUCAAGGUUCAUAAAAAUUAAUGACCUCUUAUCUGCAAUUGGCUCAUACAUGAAAAAUUAAUGACCUCUUCUACUCAAUUGGCUCAUAUAUGAAUUAAUGACCUCUUAUCUUCAUAAAAAUUUAAGGAGAUAUAGUAUGGCUGAAAUUCUAAAAACUGUUUAUGCUUUCUUCAUACUGUCAUUCCUAAUUCUUGUGGCAACCAUCCAUAGUUUUUGCCCAUGUGAAACUAACGAGGAUUGUGCAUGUGAAGUAUGUCCUGAUCAUAACAAAAACGCGUCGUGCAUUUGGAAAGGAUGUUACUGCCGUCAAGAGUACCUAUUACAUUAAAGACAUGUUAUAGUGUUUCUUUUUUAGGUUAAGACAUGUUAUAGUGUUUCUACUGCUAUGAAAUUUCUCUCAUCUUGACUCAUGUUUAUUAAUUAGUCGAUAUUUUAGGCUUAAGUUGAAGAUCAAUCCAAGCUUCUUGUACUGAAUUUUCCGCUGCACAACCCAAAACCAAAUACAUUAGAUUUUUAACAUUCAUGUAUAUACUAUAUUUCUUAUGAAGAUAUCAAAACUUGAUUUUAAACAUGGAUAAAAACAUAAAAAAGGGGAUUUAAAUUG